ACGCUCGACACCUACGGGGGCAGCAGUGAGGAAUAUUGGUCAAUGGGCGCUAGCCUGAACCAGCCAAGUAGCGUGAAGGAUGAAGGCUCUAUGGGUCGUAAACUUCUUUUAUAUAAGAAUAAAGUGCAGUAUGUAUACUGUUUUGUAUGUAUUAUAUGAAUAAGGAUCGGCUAACUCCGUGCUAGCAGCCGCGGUAAUCUGAGCGGGCUGGCAAGGC
rnacentral:rRNA from 1 species